rnacentral:siRNA from 1 species
UCGCCAAACCGUCGCCACUUA